rnacentral:tRNA from 1 species
CCCUGGCUGGCUCAGUCGGUAGAGCAUGAGACUCUUGAUCUCCCGGCUGUGAGUUAGAGCCCCACGUUGAGCA